CAGCCGCCGCGGUAAUACGUAGGUGGCAAGCGCUGUCCGGAAUUAUUGGGCGUAAAGGGCUCGCAGGCGGUUUCUUAAGUCUGAUGUGAAAGCCCCCGGCUCAACCGGGGAGGGUCAUUGGAAACUGGGAAACUUGAGUGCAGAAGAGGAGAGUGGAAUUCCACGUGUAGCGGUGAAAUGCGUAGAGAUGUGGAGGAACACCAGUGGCGAAGGCGACUCUCUGGUCUGUAACUGACGCUGAGGAGCGAAAGCGUGGGGAGCGAACAGGAUUAGAUACCCGGGUAGUCCCUGUCUCUUAUAC
rnacentral:rRNA from 1 species